UACGUAGGGGGCAAGCGUUGUCCGGAUUUAUUGGGCGUAAAGAGCGUGUAGGCGGCCAUACAGGUCCGUUGUGAAAACUGGAGGCUUAACCUCCAGACGUCGAUGGAAACCGUAUGGCUAGAGUCCGGAAGAGGAGAGUGGAAUUCCUGGUGUAGCGGUGAAAUGCGCAGAUAUCAGGAAGAACACCCGUGGCUAAGGCGGCUCUCUAGUACGGUACUGACGCUGAGAUACGAAAGCGUGGGGAGCAAACAGG
rnacentral:rRNA from 1 species